rnacentral:rRNA from 1 species
CUUGCUUCUCUUGAGAGCGGCGGACGGGUGAGUAAUGCCUAGGAAUCUGCCUGGUAGUGGGGGAUAACGUCCGGAAACGGACGCUAAUACCGCAUACGUCCUACGGGAGAAAGCAGGGGACCUUCGGGCCUUGCGCUAUCAGAUGAGCCUAGGUCGGAUUAGCUAGUUGGUGGGGUAAUGGCUCACCAAGGCGACGAUCCGUAACUGGUCUGAGAGGAUGAUCAGUCACACUGGAACUGAGACACGGUCCAGACUCCUACGGGAGGCAGCAGUGGGGAAUAUUGGACAAUGGGCGAAAGCCUGAUCCAGCCAUGCCGCGUGUGUGAAGAAGGUCUUCGGAUUGUAAAGCACUUUAAGUUGGGAGGAAGGGCAGUAAAUUAAUACUUUGCUGUUUUGACGUUACCGACAGAAUAAGCACCGGCUAACUCUGUGCCAGCAGCCGCGGUAAUACAGAGGGUGCAAGCGUUAAUCGGAAUUACUGGGCGUAAAGCGCGCGUAGGUGGUUCGUUAAGUUGGAUGUGAAAUCCCCGGGCUCAACCUGGGAACUGCAUUCAAAACUGACGAGCUAGAGUAUGGUAGAGGGUGGUGGAAUUUCCUGUGUAGCGGGUGAAAAUGCGUAGAUAUAGGAAGGAACACCAGUGGCGAAAGCGACCACCUGGACUGAUACUGACACUGA